rnacentral:lncRNA from 12 species
ACCACAGCAUCCUACUAUUUCCUGAGCUGCAUCCAUCACUUGUGAGGACCUAGGACAUUAUUUCAAGAUCUCAAAUCUUGGCCCAGAAAUCCAAAUACAGUUUUCCAUCUGGAGAACCAGCUAGUGACUUCCCAAAUCUUCCCCUCUCUCUGCCCAAGGGGGAGGAAAUAAUGAGGACACUCUCUUGGUUCCUGAGGUUCCUGAGGUAUUCUGAUCGCUGUCAUGUUGCUGGGUCGGAGCGCCCUCUGAGCUUGAUCGAGUUCCCUCAUGUAUGAAAAGAGAAUCCAGAAGAUCCAUCGAGGAAGCCUGUCAAUGUGGAGUGAGCAGAUUCCACGAGGGCAGGGAAUUUUUUCUGCUCGACUCACAGAUGCAUCCCCAGCCCCUACAUCCAUCAGUGCUCAUCCCCAAAACAUCCACAUCCUGAUCUCUGGAACCUGUGAAAGUUCCCUUCUAGGGCACGAAUGGAGACUUUGCAGAUGGGAUUAUGUUAAGGAUUUCAGGAUGGGGAGAUUAUCCUGGGUUACCUGGGUGCACCCUGGAUGUGAUCACCAGUGUCCUUAUAAAAAGGAGGCAGAGGAGCUUUGGGUGCAUCCAAAGAAGUCAGUGUGACAAUCGAAGCAAGAUGCUAGUCGGCCAGCUUUGAAGGUGGAAGAAGGGGCCAGGAGAAGCCAAGGAAUGAAGUUUUGGGAGCUGGAAAAGGCAAAGAAACUCGUUCUUCCCUAGAGCAUCCAAAGGGACCGCAAGGCCUGCUCACACAUUGAUUUUAGCCCAUAAGACUCUUUUCAAGGGGAUCCCUGGGUGGCGCAGCGGUUUGGCGCCUGCCUUUGGCCCAGGGCGCGAUCCUGGAGACCCGGGAUCGAAUCCCACGUCGGGCUCCCGGUGCAUGGAGCCUGCUUCUCCCUCUGCCUGUGUCUCUGCCUCUCUCUCUCUCUCUCUCUGUGUGACUAUCAUAAAUAAAUAAUAAAAAAAUAAAUAAAUAAAAGACUCU